rnacentral:rRNA from 1 species
GCGAACGCUGGCGGCAGGCUUAACCCAUGCCAGUCGCGCGGGCAUAGCAAUAUGUCAGCGGCAGACGGGUGAGUAACGCGUGGGAACGUACCUUUUGGUUCGGAACAACUGAGGGAAACUUCAGCUAAUACCGGAUAAGCCCUUACGGGGAAAGAUUUAUCGCCGAAAGAUCGGCCCGCGUCUGAUUAGCUAGUUGGUGAGGUAAUGGCUCACCAAGGCGACGAUCAGUAGCUGGUCUGAGAGGAUGAUCAGCCACAUUGGGACUGAGACACGGCCCAAACUCCUACGGGAGGCAGCAGUGGGGAAUAUUGGACAAUGGGCGCAAGCCUGAUCCAGCCAUGCCGCGUGAGUGAUGAAGGCCCUAGGGUUGUAAAGCUCUUUUGUGCGGGAAGAUAAUGACGGUACCGCAAGAAUAAGCCCCGGCUAACUUCGUG